rnacentral:rRNA from 1 species
AGCGAACGCUGGCGGCAGGCUUAACACAUGCAAGUCGAGCGGGCACUUCGGUGUCAGCGGCAGACGGGUGAGUAACACGUGGGAACGUACCCUUCGGUUCGGAAUAACGCUGGGAAACUAGCGCUAAUACCGGAUACGCCCUUUUGGGGAAAGGUUUACUGCCGAAGGAUCGGCCCGCGUCUGAUUAGCUAGUUGGUGGGGUAAUGGCCUACCAAGGCGACGAUCAGUAGCUGGUCUGAGAGGAUGAUCAGCCACACUGGGACUGAGACACGGCCCAGACUCCUACGGGAGGCAGCAGGGGGGAAUAUUGGACAAUGGGCGCAAGCCUGAUCCAGCCAGGCCGCGUGAGUGAUGAAGGCCUUAGGGUUGUAAAGCUCUUUUGUCCGGGACGAUAAUGACGGUACCGGAAGAAUAAGCCCCGGCUAACUUCGU